GGCAUAACCCCGGGAAACUGGGGAUAAUUCCGGAUAACGCACAUAUGCUGGAAUGCUUUAUGCGUCAAAUGGAUUCGUCUGCCCAAGGAUGGGUCUGCGGCCUAUCAGGUAGUAGUGGGUGUAAUGUACCUACUAGCCGACGACGGGUACGGGUUGUGAGAGCAAGAGCCCGGAGAUGGAUUCUGAGACAUGAAUCCAGGCCCUACGGGGCGCAGCAGGCGCGAAAACUUUACAAUGCGGGAAACCGUGAUAAGGGGACACCGAGUGCCAGCAUCAUAUGCUGGCUGUCCAGGUGUGUAAAAUACACCUGUUAGCAAGGGCCGGGCAAGACCGGUGCCAGCCGCCGCGGUAACACCGGCGGCCCGAGUGGUGAUCGUGAUUAUUGGGUCUAAAGGGUCCGUAGCCGGUUUGGUCAGUCCUCCGGGAAAUCUGAUAGCUCAACUAUUAGGCUUUCGGGGGAUACUGCCAGACUUGGAACCGGGAGAGGUAAGAGGUACUACAGGGGUAGGAGUGAAAUCUUGUAAUCCCUGUGGGACCACCUGUGGCGAAGGCGUCUUACCAGAACGGGUUCGACGGUGAGGGACGAAAGCUGGGGGCACGAACCGGAUUAGAUACCCGGGUAGUCCCAGCCGUAAACGAUGCUCGCUAGGUGUCAGACAUGGCGCGACCGUGUCUGGUGCCGCAGGGAAGCCGUGAAGCGAGCCA
rnacentral:rRNA from 1 species